CUUGACGGAGCCCAGCAGCAGCGGCCGGUCGGCGGGGUGUUCGCGGCCGUAGGUGGCCAGCAGCGCCUGGGCUUC
rfam:Streptomyces pratensis ATCC 33331, complete genome.